UACGUAGGUGGCAAGCGUUGUCCGGAAUUAUUGGGCGUAAAGCGCGCGCAGGCGGUCCUUUAAGUCUGAUGUGAAAGCCCACGGCUCAACCGUGGAGGGUCAUUGGAAACUGGGGGACUUGAGUGCAGGAGAGAAGAGUGGAAUUCCACGUGUAGCGGUGAAAUGCGUAGAGAUGUGGAGGAACACCAGUGGCGAAGGCGACUCUUUGGCCUGUAA
rnacentral:rRNA from 1 species